CAGAGCACAGGGGACUUUUAGGGCAGUAAAGUUACUCUAUUUGAUACCAUAAUGAUGGAUACAUGUCAUUAUACACUUGUCAAAACCCAUAGAAUGUACAACAUCAAGUCCCGACAAAACCUAUCCUCAAAGUCAUGUUCACGUUGCAAUUAUGACCAGCUUAUUUGUGAAACAAAAAUUGGGGUCCUUUAUCUGACAAAUAUGGGCACAAUGGGAGAACAUAUUUGAAAUCUGUGCUACUUAUAUGAAUCCUUGACCUGAACUAAAAUGUAAGCUGGAUUUUUCCAGGAGAGACUACCUUCACUGAAAACAAUGCACACUCAGAAUUUCUGGCAUCAGCACCUGCUACCUACGUAAAGCUGGAUCUCCCUAGAUUGGCAACUGACCCAUUGCAGUCAUUUCAGGAUCCUUUAUCAUUCUCGGUUACCAGCUCCGUUUUGAAAGCUAUUUAAAAUUCUGUGUGCAAAGUCAUUCUCAAGGAAUGUCUAUUUUCCUCCAGUCUUUUCACUGACUUGUUUCUUCUCUUGUUUUGGAUAUUCAAUGCUUGGAAAUCAAUUUGCAACUAAGAAGACACUUGGGCACAGGAAUUAAAUUGUGUAUUUCAGUAAUUCAGAACUCCGCAUUUGACUGGCUGAAUAUCUCAAUUCACCACAAGAUGGCAGCACGAAGUUAAUUUUUAAAACUGGAAAGAAACGACGAAAGAAAUAUGGAAGGAAGUAACAGAGUAUGUGGGCCUCUCACUGUUGUGGCCUCUCCUGUUGCGGAG